rnacentral:rRNA from 1 species
AUUGAACGCUGGCGGCAGGCCUAACACAUGCAAGUCGAGCGAGCGGCGGACGGGUGAGUAAUGUCAGGGAAAAUGCCUGAUGGAGGGGGAUAACUACUGGAAACGGUAGCGAAUACCGCAUACCAGCAGAUGUGCCCAGAUGGGAUUAGAUAGUAGGGGGGGUAACGGCUCACCUAGGCGACGAUCCCUAGCUGGUCUGAGAGGAGGACCCGCCACACUGCAACCGUGAUACGGUCCAGACUCCUCCGGGAGGCAGCAGUGGGGAAGAUUGCACCAUUGGCUGAAGCCUGAUGCAGCCACGCCGCGUGUGUGAAGAAUGCCUUCGGGUUGUAAAGCUCUUUCAGCGGGGAGGCGUUACCCGCAGAAGAAGCACCGGCUACCUCCGUGCCAGCCGCCGCGGUAAUUC